AUGAACGCUAGCUACAGGCUUAACACAUGCAAGUCGAGGGGCAGCAUGGUCUUAGCUUGCUAAGGCCGAUGGCGACCGGCGCACGGGUGAGUAACACGUAUCCAACCUGCCGUCUACUCUUGGACAGCCUUCUGAAAGGAAGAUUAAUACAAGAUGGCAUCAUGAGUCCGCAUGUUCACAUGAUUAAAGGUAUUCCGGUAGACGAUGGGGAUGCGUUCCAUUAGAUAGUAGGCGGGGUAACGGCCCACCUAGUCUUCGAUGGAUAGGGGUUCUGAGAGGAAGGUCCCCCACAUUGGAACUGAGACACGGUCCAAACUCCUACGGGAGGCAGCAGUGAGGAAUAUUGGUCAAUGGGCGAGAGCCUGAACCAGCCAAGUAGCGUGAAGGAUGACUGCCCUAUGGGUUGUAAACUUCUUUUAUAAAGGAAUAAAGUCGGGUAUGGAUACCCGUUUGCAUGUACUUUAUGAAUAAGGAUCGGCUAACUCCGUGCCAGCAGCCGCGGUAAUACGGAGGAUCCGAGCGUUAUCCGGAUUUAUUGGGUUUAAAGGGAGCGUAGAUGGAUGUUUAAGUCAGUUGUGAAAGUUUGCGGCUCAACCGUAAAAUUGCAGUUGAUACUGGAUAUCUUGAGUGCAGUUGAGGCAGGCGGAAUUCGUGGUGUAGCGGUGAAAUGCUUAGAUAUCACGAAGAACUCCGAUUGCGAAGGCAGCCUGCUAAGCUGCAACUGACAUUGAGGCUCGAAAGUGUGGGUAUCAAACAGGAUUAGAUACCCUGGUAGUCCACACGGUAAACGAUGAAUACUCGCUGUUUGUGAUAUACUGCAAGCGGCCAAGCGAAAGCGUUAAGUAUUCCACCUGGGGAGUACGCCGGCAACGGUGAAACUCAAAGGAAUUGACGGGGGCCCGCACAAGCGGAGGAACAUGUGGUUUAAUUCGAUGAUACGCGAGGAACCUUACCCGGGCUUAAAUUGCAGAUGAAUUACGGUGAAAGCCGUAAGCCGCAAGGCAUCUGUGAAGGUGCUGCAUGGUUGUCGUCAGCUCGUGCCGUGAGGUGUCGGCUUAAGUGCCAUAACGAGCGCAACCCUUGUUGUCAGUUACUAACAGGUUCCGCUGAGGACUCUGACAAGACUGCCAUCGUAAGAUGUGAGGAAGGUGGGGAUGACGUCAAAUCAGCACGGCCCUUACGUCCGGGGCUACACACGUGUUACAAUGGGGGGUACAGAGGGCCGCUACCACGCGAGUGGAUGCCAAUCCCCAAAACCUCUCUCAGUUCGGACUGGAGUCUGCAACCCGACUCCACGAAGCUGGAUUCGCUAGUAAUCGCGCAUCAGCCACGGCGCGGUGAAUACGUUCCCGGGCCUUGUACACACCGCCCGUCAAGCCAUGGGAGCCGGGGGUACCUGAAGUGCGUAACCGCGAGGAGCGCCCUAGGGUAAAACUGGUGACUGGGGCU
rnacentral:rRNA from 1 species